AAUGGAAAUGGGAAAAAGGAAGAAAGAGGAAAAAAAAAAGGAAAAAACAGAGAAAGAGAGAAUUAAGAAAAUGAAACGUGGAAAUGGGAUGUAGUGCGGUCAUGAGUGAAAAGGGAAGAGAUUAGGAUUUGAAGAAACUAAAAAAAAUAAAGUAAAAAUAAAUAUUUACCUGAAGUUAUUUUUGGAGUGAACAGGGCGAAACAGAUAGAAAGAGUCCCAACCAAAAUGCCCAACAUUACAUAACAGCGUAUCCAAAUGGAUUUUUAUUUUUUCACCUUUGAAGUUUUGACCUAAGCUGACCCAAGAUGAACCAUGGUCCUCAGUACUGAGCAUCGCACUUCGAAGGAGUGGUACUGCGCAGAACCAUUUGAGGAGUUGUUCUCAUGAAGCUCUAAGAAAAGCGAGGAUAUAUUAGGGUUCUCAAGAGAGUGUAGAAGGAUUCAAUCAAUUCGUGUAAGGGUUCUUUGUUUCCCUUGAGCGCAAAGUAGGAGGUGGAAACUCAUUGCUAAGGUCUGAGAAGCUUGCGAGUACAAAGCGACCGCAGGUUUCUUGAGUAACUUCUUGUACUUUUACUUGAAUUCAAUACAACUCAUAUUUCUUUUGUUUUCAAUCUUCUAUUAAAUUUUGCACAAUUACAAUA